UAAAAAAUCCUCCUUUGUUUUACUUUUUCGACACUAACCGGGCGAGAGCAGGGUUGUUCUCGCGAGGGUUUAACGUCAUGUGACAGCUGCACGUCAGUCCUAAAUUGACAGCCACUGCUUAUAUUGCUGCUAAAUCGCACCUUGGGUAGCAGACGCUGUGGGACUUUGACGUGCAGACAUAUGGUCGCUCAUCUGAACGCUGAAACGAUCUCUGUUUGUCAAAAGAGGAACUGGCCAGGUGUGUUCCAGAUCCCACCCCCGCUCGGAGUAACUGAAGGAUCUGGGACACAUUAAGAAUUGUCUGGUUUUUGUAUACUGACCGGACUGGCGAGCUAACCAUAGCGGAUUCAGAAAGUCACCCAUAAUCUGAGGAAACAUCUCCAAACCGGAAGGGAAAUUCAACCAACCACUUCACAGCUGGAACUAAAUGACUAUUUUUGUUUUUUCCCUUCCGUCACCGACAGAGACUUCCUUGGUUUAAGGAACUGGACUUUAAAGCUGUGAAACAAUUUGUAUAUAUUGUAAAUAUAAAUACACCUCAUUGAUUUUGCACUCUCCAGUUGUAUGUGUCUUGCAAUUUGCCACUACCUCCAGUAGACGAACCUGGAACCUAGUUUUUCACUUAGAGUGACGUUGAUUUGGGUUUUUUAAUAAUCUUAAAAUGUAACUCGGGUUACAUAGCUUGGCGAGCUAGCCAGGAGAUUGUUGGCAUUUUGUAAACACAAAUUUAUUUAUUUUUCUCUCUUUUUUUUCCUCUUUUUUUUUUUUGUCAUCAACAAUAUGGAUGAAUUUCAAAAACUCGACAUAAAAAUUCCCAACUCUGUUUUGGUUGAAGGCAUUUCAGAUGAAGAUGGUAAAGAGGAAGUAUUUGACUUUUUGAAACAAUAUGGGAAGAUAACAACGACUGAAAUCAUUUCUGAAGCUGACUCUGAGUUUGAGGGCCAGCUUGUGGUUGAAUUUAGCAGUGGUACAGCAGUAGCUGAAUUGCGUUCCAUUUUACCAUAUUCAUUCAAAUCAUCUGAAAAGUCAGACACAUUUUUCAUCUCUGAAUUAGCUGUUGUAUAUGCAGAACAUGUUUCACAGAGUAAAACUCAUUCUUAUUUACUUGAGUUACAGAAACUUGCAAAGCUCUCUGGCAUGGAUUUUGCAGAGGUGUUAAAAUCCACGAUGACUCAGAUUGGACAAUCAGUUGCUGAACUUCACUCAGCUGCUAAGAUGGAGGAUCCUGAUGAGAAGUCUGAGGUUAUGGCAGCAGCUGCAGAUCCAACAAUGAAGGAAGAGCCAACGUUGUCAACCGCCACUGAUCCUACAGUUUCCAGACAGAGACUUGAGCAGCAACCUACCUCACGACAGAGACCUUCUCUUCAUGAUGAUGACAUCCAACCACCCGAAGUCCAGCGCUACGUGGUGGAACACAUUAUGAAAACUGAGGAAAGUGCUUACCAUCUACAAAGGCUCCGAGUGUUUUCUGGACGGCUGCCUAGACCAGCACAUGAAGCAGACUACGAGACCUGGCAUUCAGGAGUGGAUCUGCUACUAAAAGACCCAUCAGUUUCUGAGCUGCAACGAUCAAGGAGGAUCGUGGAGAGUUUACUUCCCCCAGCCGCUGAUAUGCUGAAGCAUCUAAGUUCAGAUACUCCACCUACUGUAUAUCUGAACAUAUUGGAUUCGGCAUAUGGCACGGUGCAAGAUGGAGAAGAACUCUUUGCAAAAUUCAUGGACACUUUCCAGGAUGCAGGGGAGAAGCCAUCUUCAUACCUCCAGCGGCUGCAGGUGAUGGUGGAGCAGUUGCUGCUUUAACCAAAUUGACUCAGCAGUUGGCAGAACAACUGGCAGAUGUACAGCGGCAGCUGGCUAAGCUAACAUCCACAACCACCCAGCCCAGGACUACAUCACAACCUAAAGUAACACACAGUUGAAGGUGCUGCUGGACAGUCUGUUCCGUAUCUGGGGUACGUGGAGCUGGUCAUCACAUUCCCUGAAGACUUCAUAGGAGUAAACACAGAGGUACCAACUCUCGCUCUUGUGGUCCCAGAUACUAGUCCUGACAGGCCAUCUAAUGUACUUAUUGGCAUGAACACACUGGAGCCACUGUAUGAACAACAUCUUAGCAGUAACCAUGUACAAUUUCAACCCAUGGCCCAAGGAUAUCGAGCGGUCCUGAAACUGCUACAGUUAAGGCACCAGCAAAAUCAAUUAGGAAAUGCAGGGACUGUCAGGCUGUUAAGCACCACUCCAGUCCUUAUUUCACCUGGACAAACCACUGUCUUGGAGGGUUCUGUUAAAAACACCUCUCCAUCUGCCAAUAAGUGGGCCAUUGUUGAACACCCUAGCUCGCCUUUACCAGGGGGUUUAUGUGUUCAGAGUUGUCUAAUUACACUGCCACAGCAUCCACCAUAUAAAGUCCCAGUGAUCAUGAAGAAUGAAUCAGAGCAAGAGGUGUUCAUAUCACCAUUAACCAUUAUUGCAGACAUUGGGUCAGCACCUACUGUUUUGUCACAACAAAUCGCAUCUCAAACCUCACAACAAACCACUUUGGAGUUUAACUUUGGAGACUCUCCCAUUCCACCUGAGUGGAAGGAACAUAUUAUCAACAAAAUGAACAGCAUGCCU